CCUACGGGAGGCAGCAGUGAGGAAUAUUGGUCAAUGGACGAGAGUCUGAACCAGCCAAGUAGCGUGAAGGAUGACUGCCCUAUGGGUUGUAAACUUCUUUUAUAUGGGAAUAAAACAGGGUAUGCAUACCCUCUUGUAUGUACCAUAUGAAUAAGGAUCGGCUAACUCCGUGCCAGCAGCCGCGGUAAUACGGAGGCUCCGAGCGUUAUCCGGAUUUAUUGGGUGUAAAGGGAGCGUAGGUGGAUUGUUAAGUCAGUUGUGAAAGUUUGCGGCUCAACCGUAAAAUUGCAGUUGAAACUGGCAGUCGUGAGUACAGUAGAGGUGGGCGGAAUUCGUGGUGUAGCGGUGAAAUGCUUAGAUAUCACGAAGAACUCCGAUUGCGAAGGCAGCUCACUGGACUGCAACUGACACUGAUGCUCGAAAGUGUGGGUAUCAAACAGGAUUAGAUACCCGGGUAGUC
rnacentral:rRNA from 1 species